rnacentral:lncRNA from 1 species
UGAAAAUUACAGUUUGGUUCAGGCUGGGAUAAUGAGAUAUGAGAAGAUUUACAUGUUUCCUUCUGUGCAUAUUUCUAUGCAAAGUUUCUCCAGAGAACUGAAGCAUAGCCAAAUCCCUCAACACAGAAAAAAAAAAUCACUUAACAGCAAAAAGCAACUUCAUCCUGUUUCAUUUCAUGGCUUUCACUUCCAAAUAUGGAAUAUAAGCAUCUGGAAAGCAAGGUAAUAUG